AUUGAACGCUGGCGGCAGGCCUAACACAUGCAAGUCGAGCGAGAGGCGGACGGGUGUGAAAUGUAUAGGGGCUGUGCGAUAGAGGGGGAUAAAUACUGGGAACGGGGGCGAAUACAGCAUACGAUCGGAUAACCCAUAUGGGGUUAGCUAGUAGGUAAGGUAACGGCUUACCUAGGCGACAAUCCCUAGCUGGUCUGAGAGGAUGAUCAGCCACACUGGGACUGAGACACGGCCCAGACUCCUACGGAGGCAGCAGUGGGGAAUAUUGCACAAUGGGCGCAAGCCUGAUGCAGCCAUGCCGCGUGUAUGAAGAAGGCCUUCGGGUUGUAAAGUACUUUCAGUCGGGAGGCGUUACCGACAGAAGAAGCACCGGCUAACUCCGUGCCAGCAGCCGCGGUAAUUC
rnacentral:rRNA from 1 species